rnacentral:rRNA from 1 species
GACAGAGGGGGGCAAGCGUUGCUCGGAAUUACUGGGCGUAAAGGGCGCGUAGGCGGGAUGGCAAGUCGGUCGUGAAAUCCCUCGGCUCAACCGAGGAACGUCGAUCGAUACUGCUGUUCUUGAGGAUUGCAGAGGAGACUGGAAUUCCCGGUGUAGCGGUGAAAUGAUGUAGAGAUCGGGAGGAACACCGGUGGCGAAGGCGGGUCUCUGGGCAAUUCCUGACGCUGAGGCGCGAAAGCGUGGGGAGCAAACGGG